UACGUAGGGUGCAAGCGUUGUCCGGAAUUAUUGGGCGUAAAGAGCUCGUAGGCGGCCUGUCGCGUCGGCUGUGAAAACUCAGGGCUCAACCCUGAGCCUGCAGUCGAUACGGGCAGGCUAGAGUCCGGCAGGGGAGACUGGAAUUCCUGGUGUAGCGGUGAAAUGCGCAGAUAUCAGGAGGAACACCGGUGGCGAAGGCGGGUCUCUGGGCCGGAACUGACGCUGAGGAGCGAAAGCGUGGGGAGCGAACAGG
rnacentral:rRNA from 1 species